CGCGAACGCUGGCGGCAUGCCUAACACAUGCAAGUCGUACGGAGAGUGGGGCAACUCACUCUCAGUGGCAAACGGGUGAGUAACGCGUGAAUAACCUGCCUUUGAGAAGGGGAUAACUGUCCGAAAGGAUAGCUAAUACCCUAUAUUGCCUUUUGUCACUAAGGCAAAAGGUGAAAGCGAGGCUAUCAAAGGCUUCGGCUCAAAGAGGGGUUCGCGUCCUAUCAGGUAGUUGGUGGGGUGAUGGCCUACCAAGCCAAUGACGGGUAGCUGGUCUUAGAGGAUGAUCAGCCACAGUGGGACUGAGACACGGCCCGCACCCCUACGGGGGGCAGCAGUGGGGAAUCGUGGGCAAUGGGCGCAAGCCUGACCCCGCAAUGCCGCGUGAGGGAAGAAGCCCUUCGGGGUGUAAACCUCUGUCAGAUGGGAAGAUGAGACUAGGGGCUAAUACCUCCUGGUCUUGACGGUACCAUCAGAGGAAGGGACGGCUAACUACGUGCCAGCAGCCGCGGUAAUACGUAGGUCCCGAGCGUUGCGCGAUGUUACUGGGCGUAAAGCGUCCGUAGCUGGUUUCGUAAGCGGAUUGUCAAAGCCCGAAGCUCAACUUCGGCAAGGCAUUCCGAACUGCGUUACUUGAGUCCUGUUCAGGUAGGCGGAAUUCCCGGUGUAGCGGUGAAAUGCGUAGAUAUCGGGAGGAACACCAGUGGCGAAGGCGGCCUACUGGGACGGUACUGACGGUCAUGGACGAAAGCUGGGGGAGCAAACCGGAUUAGAUACCCGGGUAGUCCCAGCCGUAAACGAUGGAUGUUAGGUGUAGUGAUAACUUCGCUGCACCCCAGCUAACGCGUUAAACAUCCCGCCUGGGGAGUACGGGCGCAAGCCUGAAACUCAAAGGAAUUGGCGGGGGCCCGCACAACCGGUGGAGCGUCUGGUUUAAUUCGAUGCUAACUGAAAAACCUUACCAGGGUUUGAAAUGGUAGGAAAGGCUGUCGAAAGAUAGCCGUGUUUCCCUUUUGGGAGAAAUCCUACCACAGGUGGUGCAUGGCCGUCGUCAGCUCGUGUUGUGAGAUGUUGGGUUAAGUCCCGCAACGAGCGCAACCCUUGUCCUUAUUUGCUUCCUCGUAUGAGGUGCUCUAUAAGGAGACUGCCGGCGACAAGCCGGAGGAAGGAGGGGACGACGUCAGGUCAGUAUGCCCUUUAUGCUCUGGGCUACACA
rnacentral:rRNA from 1 species